rnacentral:ncRNA from 2 species
AGUAAAUAGACUGCUUAAGGUGCCCAUUUGGGAGAAUAGGGAAGUCCGGUGCAAAUCCGGCGCGGUCCCGCCACUGUAAAGGGGAGCUGUUUAAAAAAUAUCCACUGAUAAAUCGGGAAGGGUUAAACAGCUGUGAACCCAGCCAGGAGACCUGCCUUAAGAGUUUGAUUUUC